rnacentral:rRNA from 1 species
UAGGGAAUCUUCCACAAUGGACGCAAGUCUGAUGGAGCAACGCCGCGUGAGUGAAGAAGGUCUUCGGAUCGUAAAACUCUGUUGUUAAAGAAGAACAUAUCUGAGAGUAACUGUUCAGGUAUUGACGGUAUUUAACCAGAAAGCCGCGGCUAACUACGUGCCA